rnacentral:misc_RNA from 1 species
CGCACAUUGCGCCCCGUGGUAUUCCGCGGGGCAUGCCUGUUCGAGCGUCAUUAUAACCCUCACGCCCAGCGUGGUCUUGGGGCCUGCCCUUGCGGCAGCCCCUAAACGCAGUGGCGGCGCCGCGUGGCUCUCAGCGUAGUAAUUCUUCUCGCUACAGGGUCCGCGCGGGUGCUCGCCAGCAACCCCCCCUCUUAAAGGUUGACCUCGGAUCAGGUAGGGAUACCCGCUGAACUUAA